UACGUAGGGGGCAAGCGUUGUCCGGAUUUAUUGGGCGUAAAGAGCGUGUAGGCGGUUAGGUAGGUCCGUUGUGAAAACUCGAGGCUCAACCUCGAGACGCCGAUGGAAACCAUCUGACUAGAGUCCGGAAGAGGAGAGUGGAAUUCCUGGUGUAGCGGUGAAAUGCGCAGAUAUCAGGAAGAACACCCGGUGGCUAAGGCGGCUCUCUAGUAGCGUGACUGACGCUGAGACGCGAAAGCGUGGGGAGCGAACAGG
rnacentral:rRNA from 1 species